GAAUUCACUAGUGAUUCAGGCCUAACACAUGCAAGUCGUACGCACUCUCGUGAUGAUUGAAGCUUGCUUCAUGAUUCACAUUCGAGUGAGUGGCGGACGGGUGAGUAACACGUGGGUAACCUGCCCUAAAGUGGGGGAUAACAUCUGGAAACAGGUGCUAAUACCGCAUAACAACUACUUUCACAUGAUCGUAGUUUGAAAGAUGGCUCUGCUAUCGCUUUUGGAUGGACCCGCGGCGUAUUAGCUAGUUGGUGAGGUAAUAGCUCACCAAGGCAAUGAUACGUAGCCGACCUGAGAGGGUAAUCGGCCACAUUGGGACUGAGACACGGCCCAAACUCCUACGGGAGGCAGCAGUAGGGAAUCUUCCACAAUGGGCGAAAGCCUGAUGGAGCAAAGGGGCGUGAGUGAAGAAGGUUUUCGGAUC
rnacentral:rRNA from 1 species